rnacentral:rRNA from 1 species
UACAGAGGUCUCAAGCGUUGUUCGGAUUCAUUGGGCGUAAAGGGCUCGUAGGUGGCCAACUAAGUCAGACGUGAAAUCCCCAGGCUUAACCUGGGAACUGCGUCUGAUACUGGAUGGCUUGAAUUCGGGAGAGGGAUGCAGAAUUCCAGGUGUAGCGGUGAAAUGCGUAGAUAUCUGGAGGAAUACCGGUGGCGAAGGCGGCAUCCUGGACCGAGAUUGACACUGAUGAGCGAAAGCUAGGGGAGCAAACGGG